rnacentral:rRNA from 1 species
ACCCGCUGAACUUAAGCAUAUCAAUAAGCGGAGGAAAAGAAACAAACAUGGAUAGCCCUAGUAACGGCGAGUGAAGCGGCUACAGCUCAAAUUUGAAAUCUGGCCUCCUCUGGGGGUCCGAGUUGUAAUUUGCAGAGGAUGCUUUGGCGUUGGCGGCGGUCUAAGUUCCCUGGAACAGGACAUCGCAGAGGGUGAGAAUCCCGUACGUGGGCGCCUGCCUUCGCCGUGUAAAGCUCCUUCGACGAGUCGAGUUGUUUGGGAAUGCAGCUCUAAUUGGGAGGUAAAUUUCUUCUAAAGCUAAAUACCGGCCAGAGACCGAUAGCGCACAAGUAGAGUGAUCGAAAGAUGAAAAGUACUUUGGAAAGAGAGUCAAAUAGCACGUGAAAUUGUUGAAAGGGAAGCGCUUGCAGCCAGACGUGCCCGCAGUUGCUCACCCAGGCUCCGGCCUGGGGCACUCUUCUGCGGGCAGGCCAGCAUCGGUUCGGGCGGUCGGAUAAAGGUCUCUGUCACGUACCUCCCUUCGGGGUGGCCUUAUAGGGGAGACGCAAUGCGACCAGCCCGGACCGAGGUCCGCGCAUCUGCCAGGAUGCUGGCGUAAUGGCUGUAAGCGGCCCGUCUUGAAACACGG